AUGAUCAAAUAUUUAUAGGAUAUGGAUGGGCUCGCGUGACAUUAGCUAGUUGGAGGGGUAACGGCCCACCAAGGCUACGAUGUCUAGGGGCUCUGAGAGGAGAAUCCCCCACACUGGUACUGAGACACGGACCAGACUCCUACGGGAGGCAGCAGUAAGGAAUAUUGGUCAAUGGAGGGAACUCUGAACCAGCCAUGCCGCGUGCAGGAUGACUGCCCUAUGGGUUGUAAACUGCUUUUGUCAGGGAAUAAACCUUUCCACGUGUGGGAAGCUGAAUGUACCUGAAGAAUAAGGAUCGGCUAACUCCGUGCCAGCAGCCGCGGUAAUACGGAGGAUCCAAGCGUUAUCCGGAUUUAUUGGGUUUAAAGGGUGCGUAGGCGGUCCUAUAAGUCAGUGGUGAAAGACGGCAGCUUAACUGUCGCAGUGCCUUUGAUACUGUAGGACUUGAAUCUAUUUGAAGUGGGCGGAAUAAGACAAGUAGCGGUGAAAUGCAUAGAUAUGUCUUAGAACUCCGAUUGCGAAGGCAGCUCACUAAGUUAGUAUUGACGCUGAUGCACGAAAGCGUGGGGAUCAAACAGGAUUAGAUACCCUGGUAGUCCACGCCCUAAACGAUGAUAACUCGAUGUUUGCGAUACACAGUAAGCGUCCAAGCGAAAGCGUUAAGUUAUCCACCUGGGGAGUACGGUCGCAAGAUUGAAACUCAAAGGAAUUGACGGGGGCCCGCACAAGCGGAGGAGCAUGUGGUUUAAUUCGAUGAUACGCGAGGAACCUUACCCGGGCUUGAAAGUUAGUGAAUGAUCCAGAGACGGAUCAGUCCUUCGGGACACGAAACUAGGUGCUGCAUGGCUGUCGUCAGCUCGUGCCGUGAGGUGUUGGGUUAAGUCCCGCAACGAGCGCAACCCCUAUGUUUAGUUGCCAGCACAUUAAGGUGGGGACUCUAAACAGACUGCCAGCGUAAGCUGUGAGGAAGGUGGGGACGACGUCAAGUCAUCAUGGCCCUUACGUCCGGGGCUACACACGUGCUACAAUGGAUGGUACAGCGGGCAGCUACAUAGCAAUAUGGUGCUAAUCUCUAAAAGCCAUUCACAGUUCGGAUUGAGGUCUGCAACUCGACCUCAUGAAGUUGGAUUCGCUAGUAAUCGCGUAUCAGCAAUGACGCGGUGAAUACGUUCCCGGGCCUUGUACACACCGCCCGUCAAGCCAUGAAAGUUGGGGGUACCUAA
rnacentral:rRNA from 1 species